AUAUAAUAUAAUAUAAUAUAAUAUAAUAUAAUAUAAUAUCUAACAAGUCUGCCAUAUGAUGAUGCAUUCCUACCUAUCACUUUAUGCUCAUCUGUGGUUAAAAAAACAAAGGGUACUUUAGACAGACAAACAAAUAUCCAACAGAGUCAAGCAUUUAAAUGCUUCAAUACAUGUAUUUAUUUAUUUUUUAAAAAUCAAGAAGAAGAUAUUCCAAAAUUGACCAAGUUUUCACAUGUUGAAACCUUAUUUUGCUAGCUAGCUACAAUCCAAAAGCACAAACUCGAGCCUGUGCUUUUCUACUCCAUACACUGUUGGUACCAUUUCUAUGUAACGUUAAUAUAAAACCUGCAUCUUCCAACUUUUACGAUUGUUUCGCUUACAAAUUUUUAACGUAAGACCGUUCCUUGUUAGCAGAACCCAGUUAAGAUCUUCCUAAACGGUUCGUUUUUCAUAAGUAGUAUCUUUAACUAGUAUCAGACGUGCAGUAGGGUCCACCUGGAGUCAGCGUCAUGGGUUAGUUCUUGAGACGGCAACAAAAAACCAACUGUGUGUUAGUAGUGUCAUAUGUUGGAAUCGAAUAUGGUGUCGAAAUUAUUUGAAUAAAGGAACCAAAUACCAUGUAGGCAGGAUAUUUAUGUUUUUUUUUUUGUUCUCUGUGAGGAUUUUGCUCUUAAAAUAUUAAGCUAAAUCAAAUGUAUUAACUUUUUGAUAAUGAUUCAGAUAAAAAUGGUUCUUGAUGGUGGACUUGGAUGUUUGGACCCUGCUGUAUGCACACAGAGACUGAUUUUUAUCAGAGAGCACUUUUAUUCUUAUGUCUGGAGCUUUGUUUUUAUUUUGCCAUCUUAUGAAUGUGUAAUUUACUUUAUACUUUCAUUUGUUUAUUUUAUUUUAAAAAACUUUUGUAUCUUUUGAAGGGAUUUUUUUUAAAUAUUAUUGUGAAAUGUUCAGGUAUGUGUGUACUUUUUUGUUAAAAAUCAAUCCUUUGAGGUCAUAGUGUUACGUAAAUAAGCUCAGGGUGAGAUAAGCCCCUGAUUUGGUACUGAUGACUUCUCCAGACUUAAUAAAACACAUUUUAAUGCACUUUGCAUUGUUUCAUUUUUGUUUUUCUCAUUAGGGUCGACGCUUUGUUGGUUAAAGUCAUAACAUUUGUGAAAUUAAAUGGUUGUGUUUGUGUGUUUCAACCGCUUGAAGAGGCUAAAUCGGGUGUGUCAGUGCUGUAAAACAUGGGAAGUAGGAUGGGAAACACAUAUAAACACAUUUAUUAUUAGGACUGCUCAAGGAGAUUUAGUUUUAACAUUUGUACCACAAAGUACUGCACGUUUUUAUUUGUAUUUCUGUUUCUAGUUACUGUCACCACCCUGAAGAUGAUCAUUUUAUCUCACUUGAAGUUAAUUAGACAAAAUAACGCAGCUUGUCGUGUUACUGAGAAACCGUAAAGAAGCGUAAACUCUUCUGUCCUGAAGAUGUUGGAAACGUAAAGUUACAGCUUUACCUCUGACACCGGAGACUCCUUCCAUACAUGUUACAUAAACGUCUCCUUAUUGAAAACGUAAUAUCACCAUAUCAGCGAUUACACACUACUAUAGAAACGAUAGCAUGGCCAAACGAGCGC
ensembl:lncRNA